GGGCUCUGUAGCUCCCUGAACUCUGCUGAAAUGGAAGAUUAAUCUGGCUGCAAGGCGCUGAAGGGGUGCCACCCAGCAGGGAGAGCUAGGGGGAUUGAAGCCCCAUGAAGCUGCUGUUGAAACAAUGUAGGAAACCAACCCUCAGGCCUCCCAGUCAGUAUCAAGGGAUGAAAACUCACCAGGUCACCACAUCUGGACAAUGAGAUGUCAGACUCCUCACCCAUCACAAUUGCUUCCUUACCCCUCCCUAAUGCCUGUUGAUCAUCCCCUCUUACCCCUCCCUCAUUCCUGUUGACCACCUCCUCUUCCUCACCUCUACCUAAUGCCUGUGGACCACCUCCUCUUCCUUACCCCUCCCUCAUUCCUGUUUUCCCACACAUAGUUACAUUUCCUCCCUGCUGUAUAAACCCCUAAUUUUAGUCGGUUGGGGAGACAGAUUUGAAACUGAUCUUCCAUUCUCCUUCACUGUAACUCUGGAAUAAAGCCUUCCCUGG
rnacentral:lncRNA from 10 species